CCCUGGUCCAAGUGCAGUGGUAUUUUCAACUAAUUGAUCACAACCAGUUACUGAUUUAUUUGUUCCUUCUCCAUUCCCACUGCUUCACUUGACUAGCCUAAA
ensembl:misc_RNA Y_RNA Y RNA